UCCAGCUUCUUCUGCACCAAAACCCAGCCCCGACACCCAAUUUCUUCCCAAAACCAUUUUCUCCCCCCACCGGCGUCGUGAUCUCAUUUCUCCACCGUGCGUCCAUCUUUCUUCCAAGGCCCUCAUUUUCCCCCUCAAAAUUCUUCCCCCAAAAUUCUCCCUACCCUGCGACCGAGGACCUGCUCCACAACCGCCGGAAGUUCGCUGCUCGUUGCUGCCCAAGACCCAUCUCGACGCAGCCGCUCGUUGCCGCCCACGCCGCCGUUCAUCGAAGCCCUCUCUCUUUGCUUCCUCCUCUGAAAGGUAAGCACCGAAUGGGAGGGAGGAAGAAUUUGGAUUCUUUCUCUAACAUUGGCCGAAUGGAUGUUGGUUGUUGCAAUUCUUGAGUACUACUAGUGAAAUGUGAUAUAUAAAGAAUAUGCGUUUCAGCCUCUUUGACCAAGUGAUUGAGCCUGUUGGUUUGUUUGUACGGAGGCUCUCUUAUUUUUAGCUAAUGCUUUUAGUAAAUGUUAAAAGAUUUUGAGUUUAUAGUUGGCUGAUUGUGGUGUAUAGUUUUUGUAAGUGUUGAACAAGUUGAAAUGAUGUAUAAUUUUUGCAAGUUUAAAUAGUUGGAAUGUUUUUGUAAGUUGGAACAAUUGGAAUGGUAUAUGGUUUUGGUAAGUUUGAACAGUUGGUAGCAACUUUUGUAAUUGUGAUUAAUGUCCAGAGAAGCAGACAAAUUAUUGAAGUCAUAUUCUUUGGACAAAUUAUUUAAGUCAUAUUACUUG